AUGGGGCUGGCUCAGUGGUAGAGCGCUUGCCUUGCAUGCAUGAGGUCCUGGGUUUGAUUCCCCAGCACCACA
rnacentral:tRNA from 1 species